AGGUUUUUGUUCAGGGCUGUAACACUGUGGGAACUUCAUAAGAGUUUUGAUAACAGUAAUAGACUGCCCCAUCUUCAGCCUCCACACUGCUGAUUGUGAGGGUGAAAUCCUUCCCAGCUCCACUGCCACUGAAGCGGGCGGGGACUCCGGAGGCCAGGUUGGAAACCUCGUAAAUGAGUCGCCAAGGAGACUGUCCCGGUUUCUGUUGGAGCCAGUGUAGGUAAGUCUUUCCAUCAGUGUGUACAACACUCUGACUGGCCUUGCAGCUGAUGGUGACUCUCUCUCCUGGGCUCACAGACACUGAGGCUGGAGACUG